ensembl:lncRNA
UUUAUUUACAGUGUAUUUAUUUUUUUCUUUCAUUUUUCUUUUUAAAUUGUAUUUAUGAUAUCUCAGUUUAAAAUGAUAGAGAUUAAAGAAUACUGCCUUUAAACACCCCUUCACAACAAACAUUAUCGGUAACACAUUAACUGGCAAAAUAUGCUUUUAUAAUAUAAUAUCAAUUUAUCUAUGAAGAGGGAACAGGGUUAAAACAGGGUUAUAACAGGGUUAUAACAGGGUUAUAUGGUUCAGCCUUCAGGAGCCUUUAUUACUCUAGAUGACUAUAAUUACGUGGUCCAAAUGGCAUAGUGCACUAGUUUAACCAGGGCUCUGUGGAACUCCAUGGGGUCUGGUCUGAAGUAGUUCACUACAGAAGGAAUCGGGUGCCAUUUUGGCCUCAUAAUUUUCCAAUUGCUCCUUAAGCUUCAACAUGUUUUACCUUUUACAUAUUAGUCAAAGGAAAACAGGAGUCACCGCAACGGGAAAAUGUGAAAAGCAAAAAUAUGGUUUCAACAUCCAGUUGUGUUAUAAUUUGUCUUCUUCCAUUUAACAUAAGACAAAACCCUCCAGAGCUGAGAAUUAAAACAUAUCUGUAUCCCUCCACCAAAGCCUGUUUGAAACUAGAGAUACACGUCUAGUUUUCAACGUAAGAAAAUGUAAAAAAAAAAAAAAACAAGUUACACACAAAUAAUAAUAAAACACAAAUAACAGAAAAAAUGAAAAUGCCUUCAAUAUUGUGGACGAUGUGAACUGAAAGAAAUGCUUAUUUAAAAGAAAAUAUGUAUGUUUUUUAAUCCAAUUUUCUAGUAGUUGCAAAAACAAAACCUGGGUGUGUCUUGCUCCUUGUCUGAGUGUUGUGAAGUCUUCUUAUUAAUAUUUGAAUGUAUUUUUCUGCCAAUUUGCCAAAGAUAUCAUGUCACUUAAUUUCUCUCAUUUUACGUUAUCGUUUGUUUGUUUCCAUUUUUUUUUUUUAUGUGAGACAAUUCUUAAAACUGAAUAUAAAUAGUGACUUUGAUAUUAUGCUUAUUUUUUAUAACUGUAUGGUCACUGUUAAUAGUGAUAUUAUUAUUAUUAUUUUAUUUAAUAGGUUGAUUUAAUUCUGUAAAUGUUGACUUGCAGUUUGCUUGGGGAGUCUGUCACACGGUCUUCCCAUGUUCUGAAUAACAACCUUGCUCCAUACUGACAGGGGGCUUCUACAGACCAGUACUGACAGGGGGCUUCUACAGACCAGUACUGACGGGGGGAUUAGCGUGCGGUUUUAACCCUUACAUGAACGUCUGUCCUGCUGUCCACCAGAGUGUGUGUUGUCUGUGAGUCUUUAUGUACCGUGAAGAUACGAAGUAAUUAUUUGUAAAUAUUUGCCAUAAUUUUAUUGGGUUCUUCAUGAAUAAAAGUACAAAAAAGG